rnacentral:rRNA from 1 species
AUUGAACGCUGGCGGCAGGCCUAACACAUGCAAGUCGAACGGUAACAGGAAGAAGCUUGCUUCUUUGCUGACGAGUGGCGGACGGGUGAGUAAUGUCUGGGAAACUGCCUGAUGGAGGGGGAUAACUACUGGAAACGGUAGCUAAUACCGCAUACGUCGCAAGACCAAAGAGGGGGACCUUCGGGCCUCUUGCCAUCGGAUGUGCCCAGAUGGGAUUAGCUAGUAGGUGGGGUAACGGCUCACCUAGGCGACGAUCCCUAGCUGGUCUGAGAGGAUGACCAGCCACACUGGAACUGAGACACGGUCCAGACUCCUACGGGAGGCAGCAGUGGGGAAUAUUGCACAAUGGGCGCAAGCCUGAUGCAGCCAUGCCGCGUGUAUGAAGAAGGCCUUCGGGUUGUAAAGUACUUUCAGCGGGGAGGAAGGGAGUAAAGUUAAUACCUUUACUCAUUGACGUUACCCGCAGAAGAAGCACCGGCUAACUCCGUG